UGGGGAAUAUUGGACAAUGGGCGGAAGCCUGAUCCAGCAACGCCGCGUGAGGGAUGACGGCCUUCGGGUUGUAAACCUCUUUCAGUACCGACGAAGCGAAAGUGACGGUAGGUACAGAAGAAGGACCGGCCAACUACGUGCCAGCAGCCGCGGUAAUACGUAGGGUCCGAGCGUUGUCCGGAAUUAUUGGGCGUAAAGGGCUCGUAGGCGGUUUGUCGCGUCGGGAGUGAAAACAGCGGGCUUAACUCGUUGCUUGCUUUCGAUACGGGGCAGACUAGAGGUAUGCAGGGGGAGAAUGGAAUUCCUGGUGUAGCGGUGAAAUGCGCAGAUAUCAGGAGGAACACCGGUGGCGAAGGCGGUUCUCUGGGCAUUACCUGACGCUGAGGAGCGAAAGUGUGGGGAGCGAACAGGAUUAGAUACCCUGGUAGUCCACACCGUAAACGUUGGGCGCUAGGUGUGGGGUCCUUUCCACGGAUUCCGUGCCGUA
rnacentral:rRNA from 1 species